rnacentral:misc_RNA from 1 species
CCGAGUUUACAACUCCCAAACCCCUGUGAACAUACCACUUGUUGCCUCGGCGGAUCAGCCCGCUCCCGGUAAAACGGGACGGCCCGCCAGAGGACCCCUAAACUCCGUUUCUAUAUGUAACUUCUGAGUAAAACCAUAAAUAAAUCA